GAGGAUACGUGUUGCGAGAAGACCCCGCCUGUGCGCGUCCCGAACACGGUGGUUAAGCUUCUCUGCGCCAAUGGUAGGUGGGGGCUUCCCCCUGCGAGAGUAGGUCGCUGCC
rnacentral:rRNA from 1 species